UAACAGACUGUCCUGCAUGUCACACAGAACGGUGUGACCAGUGUCAUAAUGGAGAAGGGUACACAGCAUAGUGGGACUAGGAAAAUGAGGCCUUCCACCUGUCCAAACAAGGAAAUGUCUGAAGGAAGCAGCACGUGGACCCGUGUUUGAGGUGAAUGAGCCCUUCCUCAGGACACGAGGCAGGAACGGCUUGAGAUGUGUUCUCCUCCCCACUCCCGACUCAUAUGCAGUAGGACAUAUAUUUGUUUUCAAUGGCAAGCCGGAGUUAAGGGACCGCCAUCCUGAUGCCAGCCUCAGAGAAUAAGGACACGUGGUCUGAUGCUCAGAAACAAGAGAAUCAGUCGAGCAUGAGCUGAGACCUUUGAAACAGCAAGCGAACGAGCCAUUCUUUGCUCAAGUGGUUUCUUGGGUGGUGUGUCUCAGCGAUAAGAAUGCUCACACGGAAACAUUAAAUGCACCAGCACAUGAAAGUCCCUUCUCGGUGGGAACAGAGUAGGCUCCUAAGUCAUUUCCUUCUUGAGAUACUGAGAAGAUCUCAUUCAUAACAUUUCUUCCCCUGAGCUCCAAAGAGUGAGCAGAUGAAGACCAAAACUUCUUUCUUAGUCAGUUCCAGUUGUGAUAAGGACACGUCAAAGACCAGGUAGACAAGCUCCAUCACAAGUAACAUUUGAUCAAGAAAGGCUUGUGCAAGCUGAGGUUGGAAGCUGGGUUAGGAAGAGGACUGUGCUUUGGCGAAGAGCUAAGUGAUAGUCUUACUGUGAGCAGACUUCCAAUGAGAGGAAGGAAGAUAGAGGUGGGCUAAGCAUGGCCUGUGUGUUCUUCAGCAUGGCAUCAGUCUGAUGCAGCUACUCAUCUACAAGAGGAGGAACAAGAAGGAAGGCUGCACACAGCUACCUUCUUGCUGAAUCCCCACAUGGUCUCUCCUGAUUUGUUUAUUUGGGAGUGCUGGGAGUCUGACCCGGGUCCCUGAACAGAUCACAUCUGCUUCCUCGGUGCUGGUCUCUGACUGAAGACAAUGGGGCAGCGCCGCCACCGCAGCAGACUUCUGGUGGACAAGAGGCGUGAGUGACUCGUCAGCUGUUAUUGUAAGCCGCGGAGGUUUUCAGGGUCACUUGUUCCUGGAGCAUAACCAUAAUUUUCCUGUUGGAUUUGCCACUCCAACCUAUCAUUCUUCCACAAAAGUCAGUAAAAGAUGGCUUUCUGAGA